AGCAACGUCGGCAGUAAGAGG
rnacentral:siRNA from 1 species